AGUUUUUGGAAGAGGUAUUGCCACCCUUUCUAGUCCCUAUUAGACUAGAAAGGGCGGCAAUACCUCUUCCAAAAAC
rnacentral:miRNA from 2 species